rnacentral:lncRNA from 1 species
UCACGAGUGUGGGGAUGAGAAAAUCCCCAACUCGAAUGAAAGGGUUGAGUAACCCAGAUGCCAUGAAUGCAGUACAAAAAGUAAAAGGUGAUGCUAAUCAAGUAAGAGAAAAUCGACAAAGGGGCAAUAAGUCCUUAGUGGAGUCGCCAAAUUGGUCAGAUGCCUCGAUCUCGCCUCCCAAGAUCUAGGUGAUCGGGUGACACGUUUCUCGGGUUCGAAAGACCCAGGACCUAAGAUCGCUCUCUCGGAAACCUUAUUCAUAGAACAAGGGUAGGUGCCCAAUUAGUGAGAGACGAAUUUUAUUCAUGAGCUGGGGAUCAACCUCACCUGGUUCAGAGACUUAUUCUGGCAGGCUAGCGCCGACGCCCUCUUGGAUCCCGACAAAAAGCCCCCCAGCUGCUUCAGUUGGUUCGGAAUUGCCUCCCUUGACCUGCAAUCUCCUUGUUUUCUACACAACACUAUCAUGGUUUACUUGCAAGACAAGUGGGUCGAAGGAACGACCCUUGUCUUAGAGCAAUGCACAUUCAUAUGGGAGAGAAGGUGAUAAGUUAUGGUGAUGAAGAAGAAGGUUUGAAUAAAGAAACAAAAGAGAAGAGGACUUGAUAAGGGGAUGAGACUAGCAUGAAAGCUGGACCAGUAGAGUGACCGACUCGGAGUGGUAGCAAGACGGGCACGGUAACUCAGACCAGCGCGACGACAAUGCUACUUGAAAUCAAGGUCAAUAUGACUGUCUUAAUCUGGUGUGGCAGCAAGAUGGGCAUGAUACUAAGGACCUAUGUAGGAGAGCAUGGACAGAGGCUAAGCAGUUUAAGAUCAUGCAGUUUGGAUCGUGGCUUAACAGUGUAAGGUUAUGUUGUAUGGACCGAGGCAUACCAAUUUAGGGUCAUGCAGUAUGGAGUGAGGCUGUGCAGUUUUUUAUCGUGAAGCACAGACCGAGGCUUUGAAGUUUAGGGUCAUGCAGUCCUGACCAAGGCUAAGCAGUUUAGGGUCAUGCAGUAUAGUCAGUGGCGAAGCAGUUUAGUGUCAUGCAAUAUCGACCGAGGCUGAGCAGUUUAGGGUGAUGAAAUAUGGAGCGAGGCUGAGCAGUUUAAGGUCAUGUAAUAUGGACCGUGGCGGAGCCAUUUUGGGUCAUUCAGUAAGGACCAAGGCUGAGCCAUUUAGGGUCAUGCAGUAUGCAUCGAGGCUAUGUAAUUUAGGGUCAUGCAGUAUGGACCGAGGCUAAGAAGUUGAGGGUCAUGCAGUAUGG